UUCUUCUCUGUGAGCAACCAACGAAUAACCACCGAAGCCAUGGCCACCUCACAGAAACCUUGACCGUGUCGACGACUCCGUCCACCCCAAGCCUCGCCACCACCACCGUUGGAACCGCCUCGUCGUCCUCUACGUUCGGGUGUAAGGAAUCGAGUUAAUACCCUGUAAUUCGAGCGUAGUGUCGCCGUUUCUCCGCGUCGGUCGCCGAGCUUCUUCUCCGAUUCCGGCCACCUCCGUGCUUCCCCGUCGUUUCCGGGCAUGGAUUCAUGAUCCUGAUGUCGUCGGCGGUGGCGCUCCGGUGAGCCCCUAGACUCGGCACCACCACCAACGGGUUCUCCAUGUUCAGGCGCAUUCCCGAGCCAGCUUUCGUGUCCUUGUUCACGCAGAAUCAGGAGAUCGACUCCCGACCUGAUCUCCCUCCGACGUGGCUGUAGCCUUGCAAGCUCGACCCCGCCCCUGCUUGGUUCAAUUUCAGGCGCUCCUCUUCUCCAGCAACAUCAGUUUGAUGCGCGGGCAUCUACUUCAGUUUCGGUGCAUCUUUGUUUCAGACGUGAACAUCAGCCUAUCCUAGUG